CCGGACUACCUAAGAAAGAUUCUCCGGCAACCAGAGACUUCCCAUGUUGCUCACGCCAACCACGUGAACUUAAGCGUUGCGAAAAUAUUUGCGCCGCCUGUAACCAAACGUGGUACUGCUAAAAAUGACUUGCAUGAGGUAAAUGAGGUUUUGGAAAAAUUCAAAUCCUAAUCAUCUUAAAGUAACAAAUCUUAUUCGAAAUUCGUCGUACUUCUUAUGAAUGUAUUUAAAAAUAAAUAACUAACAUAUAUCUCAAAA